AGGCGGUCUGUCAAGUCGGAUGUGAAAUCCCCGGGCUCAACCUGGGAACUGCAUUCGAAACUGGCAGGCUAGAGUCUUGUAGAGGGGGGUAGAAUUCCAGGUGUAGCGGUGAAAUGCGUAGAGAUCUGGAGGAAUACCGGUGGCGAAGGCGGCCCCCUGGACAAAGACUGACGCUCAGGUGCGAAAGCGUGGGGAGCAAACAGGAUUAGAUACCCUGGUAGUCCACGCCGUAAACGAUGUCGACUUGGAGGCUGUUCCCUUGAGGAGUGGCUUCCGGAGCUAACGCGUUAAGUCGACCGCCUGGGGAGUACGGCCGCAAGGUUAAAACUCAAAUAAAUUGACGGGA
rnacentral:rRNA from 1 species